rnacentral:rRNA from 1 species
CGAAAGCCUGACGGAGCAAUACCGCGUGGGGGAGGAAGGUUCUUGGAUUGUAAACCCCUUUUCUCAGGGAAGAACAAAAUGACGGUACCUGAGGAAUCAGCAUCGGCUAACUCCGUGCCAGCAGCCGCGGUAAUACGGAGGAUGCAAGCGUUAUCCGGAAUGAUUGGGCGUAAAGCGUCCGCAGGUGGCAGUUCAAGUCUGCUGUUAAAGACUGGGGCUCAACCCUGGAAAGGCAGUGGAAACUGAACAGCUAGAGUGCGGUGGGGGCAGAGGGAAUUCCUGGUGUAGCGGUGAAAUGCGUAGAGAUCAGGAAGAACACCGGUGGCGAAAGCGCUCUGCUAGGCCGCAACUGACACUCAGGGACGAAAGC